AUUGAACGCUGGCGGCAGGCCUAACACAUGCAAGUCGAGCGAGCGGCGGACGGGUGAGUAAUUUCUGGGAAACUGCCUGAUGGAGGGGGAUAACUACUGGAAACGGUAGCUAAUACCGCAUACCCUCAGAUGUGCCCCGAUGGGGUUAGCUAGUAGGUGGGGUAACGGCUCACCUAGGCGACGAUCCCUCGCUGGUCUGAGAGGAGGACCAGCCACACUGGAACUGAGACACGGUCCAGACGCCUACGGGAGGCAGCAGUGGGGAAUAUUGCAAAAUGGGCGCAAGCCUGAUGCAGCAAUGCCGCGGGUGUGAAGAAGGCCUUCGGGUUGUAAAGUACUUUCAGCGGGGAGGCGUUACCCGCAGAAGAAGCACCGGCUAACUCCGUGCCAGCAGCCGCGGUAAUAC
rnacentral:rRNA from 1 species